rnacentral:rRNA from 1 species
UACGAAAGGUGCAAGCGUUACUCGGAAUCACUGGGCGUAAAGCGCACGUAGGCGGACUCGUAGGUCAAUUGUGAAAUACCUGGGCUCAACCCAGGAACUGCAGUUGAAACCACUUGUCUUGAAUACCUGAGAGGGUGGGGGAAUACCUGGUGGAGAAGUGGAAUUCGUAGAGAUCAGGUGGAACACCGGAGGCGAAGGCGCCUGUCUGGCAGUGUAUUGACGCUGAGGUGCGAAAGUGCGGGGAGCAAACAGG